rnacentral:rRNA from 1 species
GAUGAACGCUGGCGGCGUGCUUAACACAUGCAAGUCGAACGGAAAGGCCCAAGCUUGCUUGGGUACUCGAGUGGCGAACGGGUGAGUAACACGUGGGUGAUCUGCCCUGCACUUCGGGAUAAGCCUGGGAAACUGGGUCUAAUACCGGAUAGGACGAUGGUUUGGAUGCCAUUGUGGAAAGUUUUUUCGGUGUGGGAUGAGCUCGCGGCCUAUCAGCUUGUUGGUGGGGUAAUGGCCUACCAAGGCCUCGACGGGCAGCCGGCCUGUGAGGGUGUACGGCCACAUUGGGACUGAGAGACGGCCCAGACUCCGACGGGAGGCAGCAGUGGGGAAUAUUGCGCAAUGGGCGCAGGCCUGAUGCAGCGACGCCGCGUGGGGGAUGACGGCCUUCGGGUUGUAAACUCCUUUCGCUAGGGACGAAGCGUUUUUGUGACGGUACCUGGAGAAGAAGCACCGGCUAACUACGUG